GACGAACGCUGGCGGCGUGCCUAAUACAUGCAAGUCGAGCGGACUUGAAGGAGUGCUCGCACUCCUGAGAGUUAGCGGCGGACGGGUGAGUAACACGUAGGCAACCUGCCCUCAAGACUGGGAUAACUACCGGAAACGGUAGCUAAUACCGGAUAAUUUAUUACAUCGCAUUAUGUGAUAAUGAAAGACGGAGCAAUCUGUCACUUGGGGAUGGGCCUGCGGCGCAUUAGCUAGUUGGUGGGGUAACGGCCCACCAAGGCGACGAUGCGUAGCCGACCUGAGAGGGUGAACGGCCACACUGGGACUGAGACACGGCCCAGACUCCUACGGGAGGCAGCAGUAGGGAAUCUUCCGCAAUGGGCGAAAGCCUGACGGAGCAACGCCGCGUGAGUGAUGAAGGUUUUCGGAUCGUAAAGCUCUGUUGCCAAGGAAGAACGUCUCAUAGAGUAACUGCUAUGAGAGUGACGGUACUUGAGAAGAAAGCCCCGGCUAACUACGUG
rnacentral:rRNA from 1 species